CGGUUUCGUUAAGUACUGAUGUGAAGACUUCGGCGUUGUACCGGAGAAGUGCAUCGGAAACUGGAUAACUUGAGUGCAGAAGAGGGUAGUGGAACUCCAUGUGUAGCGGUGGAAUGCGUAGAUAUAUGGAAGAACACCAGUGGCGAAGGCGGCUACCUGGUCUGCAACUGACGCUGAGACUCGAAAGCAUGGGUAGCGAACAGGAUUAGAUACCCUGGUAG
rnacentral:rRNA from 1 species